AGAGUUUGAUCCUGGCUCAGGACGAACGCUGGCGGCGUGCUUAACACAUGCAAGUCGAACGAGAAUCUACUGAAAGAGUCUUCGGACAAUGGAUGUAGAGGAAAGUGGCGGACGGGUGAGUAACGCGUGAGGAACCUGCCUUGAAGAGGGGGACAACAGUUGGAAACGACUGCUAAUACCGCAUGACGCAUAGAGGUCGCAUGAUCUUUAUGCCAAAGAUUUAUCGCUUCAAGAUGGCCUCGCGUCUGAUUAGCUAGUUGGCGGGGUAACGGCCCACCAAGGCGACGAUCAGUAGCCGGACUGAGAGGUUGAACGGCCACAUUGGGACUGAGAUACGGCCCAGACUCCUACGGGAGGCAGCAGUGGGGAAUAUUGGGCAAUGGGCGCAAGCCUGACCCAGCAACGCCGCGUGAAGGAAGAAGGCUUUCGGGUUGUAAACUUCUUUUAAGAGGGAAGAGCAGAAGACGGUACCUCUAGAAUAAGCCACGGCUAACUACGUGCCAGCAGCCGCGGUAAUACGUAGGUGGCAAGCGUUGUCCGGAAUUAUUGGGCGUAAAGCGCGCGCAGGCGGCUUCCCAAGUCCCUCUUAAAAGUGCGGGGCUUAACCCCGUGAUGGGAAGGAAACUGGGAAGCUGGAGUAUCGGAGAGGAAAGUGGAAUUCCUAGUGUAGCGGUGAAAUGCGUAGAGAUUAGGAAGAACACCGGUGGCGAAGGCGACUUUCUGGACGAAAACUGACGCUGAGGCGCGAAAGCGUGGGGAGCAAACAGGAUUAGAUACCCUGGUAGUCCACGCCGUAAACG
rnacentral:rRNA from 1 species